GACGAACGCUGGCGGCGUGCUUAACACAUGCAAGUCGAACGGAGCGAAUGAAAGCUUGCUUUUAUGAGCUUAGUGGCAAACGGGUGAGUAACACGUAGACAACCUGCCGACAGGAUGGGGACAACAUUCCGAAAGGAAUGCUAAUACCGAAUGAAGUCGAGGGGAGGCAUCUCCCCUCGAUGAAAGAUGGCCUCUGAAUAUGCUAUCACCUGUUGAUGGGUCUGCGUCUGAUUAGCUGGUUGGUGAGGUAACGGCUCACCAAGGCGACGAUCAGUAGCCGGUCUGAGAGGAUGAACGGCCACAUUGGGACUGAGACACGGCCCAGACUCCUACGGGAGGCAGCAGUGGGGAAUCUUCCGCAAUGGGCGCAAGCCUGACGGAGCAACGCCGCGUGAGUGAAGAAGGUCUUCGGAUCGUAAAGCUCUGUUGAUGGGGACGAACGUGCGAAGGGUGAAUAAUCC
rnacentral:rRNA from 1 species